GUGCUUACAUGGCUCCAUCGCUCAACAUACGCCAAGAAAUUAUCACUGCUGAGGUACCUAAGCUUGGUAAGGAGGCCGCAUUGAAGGCUCUUAAAGAGUGGGGCCAGCCUAAGUCCAAGAUCACUCACCUUGUAUUUUGUACAACUUCGGGAGUAGAAAUGCCGGGUGCAGACUAUAAACUAGCCAAUCUUCUAGGCCUCGAAACAUAAGUUAGAAGAGUGAUGUUGUAUCAUCAAGGCUGCUAUGCAGGUGGGACCGUUCUCCGAACUGCUAAGGAUCUCGCAGAGAAUAAUGCAGGAGCACGAGUUCUUGUGGUAUGCUCUGAAAUCACGGUUGUUACUUUUCGUGGGCCUUCUGAAACCCAUUUAGACUCUUUAGUGGGUCAAGCCCUUUUUGGUGAUGGGUCAGCAGCUGUAAUUGUUGGAUCAGAUCCAGAUACCUCCAUUGAACGACCACUCUUCCAACUUGUUUCAGCGGCCCAAACAUUCAUUCCUAAUACACAAGGUGCUAUUGCUGGCAACUUACGAGAGGUGGGUCUAACCUUUCAUUUGUGGCCUAAUGUGCCUACUCUCAUUUCUGAGAAUAUAGAGAAGUGCUUGACUCAAGCUUUUGGCCCACUUGGUAUUAGUGAUUGGAACUCCUUGUUUUGGAUCGCUCAUCCAGGUGGCCCGGCCAUUCUGGAUGCAGUCGAAGCAAAACUCAAUUUGGAGAAGAAGAAACUUGAAGCAACAAGACACAUCUUAAGUGAGUACGGUAAUAUGUCAAGUGCAUGUGUGUUGUUUAUUUUGGAUGAGAUGAGAAAGAAAUCACUUAAGGAAGAAAGGACCACCACAGGUGAAGGAUUGGACUGGGGUGUUUUAUUUGGUUUUGGGCCAGAUUUGACCAUUGAAACUGUUGUGCUGCAUAGCGUUGUUGGGGCUACAAAUUGAGUGAAAGGAGACAAUUUCAAAUUAAAUCAAAUAGGAGUUAAUAAAGACAUAUGUCUUUUAUUUGUAACAUCUUUUAUUCUUUAUUUAAAUUGAUGUUUGUGGUUUAAAUUAGUGCUUGUCGGAGGGCUUCAUUAGUAACCUCAAGUUAAAAGGGAUGAGACAUCAAGUUCUUACAGUUUUGUUAUCCAGAUGAAAUUCCCUCAAAAGUUGUAUAAACAUCCACCGUGUUCUUUUAAAGAUUGUUGAGAGUAAUACAAAGAAAAGAAUAAAAUAAUAAAUUGCAUUUUCCCUUUGUAACUAAGAAGUCUGCUGCAUGAUAGCUGCAUUUGUGUGACAGAAGCAAAGCCAUGUGGAUGCCAAAAGUAAUGCAACAAUUUUAAAAGAGUAAACAGGGCGGUUGAUUAGUUAACUUCCAUAAUUCCGCAACAUUUGAUUCAAAAGACUUUAGCUUUAUCAAUUACUUAACUACUACUCCGUAUGUGGAUAAAUUCUUGUACCAUCUGAAAAGGUAUAGAAGAUAGUUAUCCUCAUAAAUAGGUUGCCUAAUUAAUUAGGUGAUCUUCAAUAAUUCAACAAGAUAGGGAUUUUAAAAUAUUUUUACUUUAUUAAUUCCUUAACUACUCCUUAAACUUCUUUUUUUCCCCUUUUUGUGAAAAGCUCUUUACCCUCAAUACAUAUGAUAUAUUCCGUUGCUAGGAACUUGGGUUUGAGUAUGUAUUAAUUACUAUUCUUAAUCAAAUUUAUUAUUGAAAAAUUAUUUUUAGUUAUGGUUUUUUUAAUAUACUUAUUACACAUUUAUCAUAUGUACUUGUUUAAUAUACUUCUAAUAUAUUUAUCAUUCAACAACAAAUACGAGAAAAGGUAUAAAAGACAAUGAAAUUACAAACUAAAUUGCCUUCAGUUUUUUUAUAGUUGAAGGCCUUCUUUUCCACCCCCAGUCUCCAAUAAAUUAGACUCUACAAAGCUUCUUCUAUGCUACUCUCUGAUUCUACUUCUAGUGCAAAGAUUUUGCAGUACUCUACAUUAUCUUGCUAUUGCUAAGAGACAAUCCAAGAAUAUUGAAGAUAAUGAAGUUAGGUUGUUGUAGUAUAAUACCUGAGUUCUUCUCUACUUGCAACUAUGGGACCGUACAUGAAGAAGCAUUUAAUAAAGGGUUUUAAGAAGCAUAACAUAUUUUUAAGGCCAAAUUAUUUACAAAUAAAGUGCAACAACUACAUAAAAAAAUGAAUUUUGAUGAAUCAUGAUUGAGGGCGAAUUUAUUUUUCGAAAUUAAUAAUUUUAAAAAAAAAAAUCCAUUUCAUCACAAUGAAAGAAUUAAUGCAAAAAUUUAGUGCUUGUUUCUAUAUACUUAGUGUUAGCUACUUUUAAAAAUGGAAAAUGAUAAUAACUUUUGUAUAAAAUGUAUUUUUUUUUUUUUUUUGUAGAAAAAUAUAUACUUCUAAACAAUUUUUUAAAAAUAUUAUAUUUUUAUUGUAAGACUUAGAAAGCUCUUAUAUUUUAUAUUAGAGUUACUAGCUUUUUCUAUUUUAAAAACAAGAAACACGAAUUGCUCCGAACACUAAAUAGUUAUUAAAAAUAUUUAAUCUAAUUUUUUUUAUUUAGUAUAAAUUGAUUAAUUUAAAAUUUUUACAUCAACUGUUAUAUGAUAACGAAUAAUUUAAGUAUCACAUACAAAGUUAUGCAAAAAAAAUUGAUAAUUUUAUUUCAGAUGAUUCACAAUAUUUCAAUGUUUUUUAAAAUAUAUUAAUUUUAAAAAAUAAAUUUAUUUAUAGAAAACAUGCAGUAAAUAUAUAAAAGAUGGAUCUGAUGAAACAUUAAUUAAAGUGAACUUCUUUUUUCAUAAAAACAAUUUUAAGAAAAUUAAUUUCACCACAAAGAAAUAUUUUCAAAGAUUUAGUAAUCAAAACUAUCAUAUUUAAACUCAAUUAUUUUUAUACUUUAUGUUCAUCCCUACAACGAUUUUUUUUAAAAAUUAUUUUAAUAUGAGUGUACUAAAAGUAUUAUUUACCAAAAAAAAAUUAUUAUUGACACAGAAUAUAAAUCUCUAUUGCAAUCUAAGAAUGCUUAGGUUCCAAAACCUUGAUUUAUUCAUUUUUGCUAACCAUACCUACAUUCACGGAUUAUAAAGAAUCAUUUAACUAUACCAUAGAAAUUAUUAUAGUAAAUAGAAAAAAUACCAUUAUUAAACCCCACAAUAUCUCAUAAUUUCUUGUUUGUUAUAUCUACACCUUAAACUAGUAGCUUUGGCUCCCUAUGGUGUCACAUAUUCUUCCUUACUAUUAGGAUAUAGCCCUUAAAAAAUUUAGGGUUUAUUAUUUAUUCAAUAAAGUUCAAAUUUCACUUUAAUUAAUCAAUAGUCCAUGGAUUAUACCUUAUGAGCAUUUAGACCUACAUCUUUGCAUUAUGACUUGUAUGGAAGAUCCAAGUCAUGGAUCCCUUACAAGUAGAUGGGUUGUUCACAACUGGUUCAUGAACUUAGACAAUCUAUUAGACUUCUUAAUUGGAGGGAUGGUUAGUCUUGGCCAUCGGGAUGGGUUUCCCAUGAUGAGUACACUAAAGUGUAUGGUUACAUAUUGGAUAGGACCUAUAGUGAACCAUAAUGUAAGUUUAUCAAGUUGUCAUGACUUCACUAAGCUAUGUUAUUGUAUUGUCUUUCAACCUUGAAAGAAUAUUGAACUUGAGCAGAAGUUAGUAGUGACUUUAACCUAUGGGUAAGAUCUUAAAGUGAUCAUAUAUUUCUUAUGGAUUGGACCACUGUUGAUGAAAACUACUAACAAUAGGUAUUCUCAAUAUAAGCACCAUGAUAUUUAAUGGGAUUGACACAGUGUGUUCCCUUGGGUGAUCUUAAGGAUGUGUGUUUAGGUCAACCAUGGUCAUCAUAAUUCCUUGAGUGGAAUUUGAUAUUAGUUUUUGGUGAGCUUAGAUAAUAUGUCAAAUGAUCACACUCUAAGAGGAUUUGGAACUCAAAGAUGGUAGAGGUAAUCUUCAAAAUUUGAUAACUUUUACCUUAUUAGAUUAUGGACACCGGUUCAUGGGGAGAUGUAGUGCUUAGAUCACAGACCGACCCAAGUACUAAGCAUCUCGUUAUAUUUACAUAGUGUAUUGGAGUGUAGUAGUUGACUCUCUAUUGUUGAAUGUAAAGUUAAUUUCAGAAUUGGAUUUUGAGGUAAUCAAUACUAUCCUAUGGGCCUUAAUUGUCCUCACUCAAGCUCAUAUACCUUGAUGUCACAGAUUAUGAAGGUUGGAUUGACUCUUAGUUCACUUAUGUGCAUAAGGGCAUGUUGGUAAUUACACAAGGUUGAAUAAGGGUUAUUGAAUGGUAUCUUUGGAUUGGGCUAAUUGAUUCAUUAUUUAGUCCUAUUAGGUUAAUUAAUCAAUUAGGACCUUUUGUAAGCUAAAUUAAGUGACCUAAGACCACGGUGGACUCAAGUUACUUAAGCUCAGUAGGAAUCACCAUAAAUACCCCUUUAGGGGUUAGGGUUUCAAGCUUCUUCCAUUCAUACUCUACAUUCCAAAGAGAGAGGUCUAGCCUCCACACUCAAAACUUCCACUAUUUAAGUGCCAAGCUUCAAGGUUGAGUCAUUGAAUGGAAGAUCAUGGGUUUAUGAGAUCUCUUACAACUUCAAAUUUGUUCUUCAUAGCAAGGAAAUGAUUUGGGAAUUCUAAAUCAAUAGUAAGCACUCUAAUCUCAUUAUCUAGAUCCUAAAAUUGAUUUUAAAUGCAUAUUUUCCUAUGCAUAGUAAUUAGAUAAGCGUAGGGAGGAUUGCAUGUAUCUAACCUAAUUUUAGGAUAGGAAACAGAUUAAUCAAACAUUGCCUACAACUGGUAUCAAAACCCUAGGUUAGGGAAAAGCAUGAUCCCUUUUAGGGUGUGCUAAUCCUUGUUUUGUAGGGUUUGUUAUUCAUUUGAUGGUCCUAAGGAUGAAAAUAUAUGCAUGAGAAUUUUAAACUUUUACUAUGAUGAAUAUAUAUAGUGAUUAAUUGUUAGAUUGGUUUGUUUAAAUCUAUCGAUGAGUUGUAAGCCCCAUAAUAAGUCUAAGAUUUUUUUAUUCAAUGUAAAAAUCUUUUGUUUUUUUAUAGAUCAGUUUGUAAAGUUCAAAUGAUUGGAGUGUAGGGUUUUGAUGUGAAAAUCCAGUUUUCAUCAAUCUAUGUAACCCAUAAUGAGUAUGGAAGCAUUCAAAUUCUUGUACAUUCCCUUAGCAGAAAAAAGAGUCCUUUUAAAGCAAACAGUGACUAGAGGUACAAAAAUUCAUUCUCAGAUUUGGUCUCAUGAAGUGCUCAAGCACUCCUUCUAACACUCAAAAGCAACAUUUAAUGCUUGAAGCAUUUCAGGCUCUCUAAAGUUCCUUCAAGUCCUCCAAAAUAUACUAGUAACAGGUUUUUAAGGGUAAUGUUGGUCUUUUGUAAAGCCACUAACCUUAUUUUUGUUAUAGGAUUUUUUGGUAUGUUUGGAUCAUGAAAAUCCAAUAUUUGGGCUACCAAAUAAGAAACAGGACCCCUAAGUCCAUGGGAUUCCCUCUUUUUUAUUUUAUUUUCUUUUAUGCUUCUAUUUUAUAUUGCAUAUGAUAAGAAGUUGAAUAAAAAGUUUUUCAAAAAUGGUAAAUUUGGAUUUUCUUAUGGAAAAAAAAAAUCACGAGGAUUAUCAUCAAGUAUUAUUUAUUUUAGAAUUGGAUGUUUCUAUUAUUGGAUUGACAUAUCUUUUGGAACUUUCCCAUUAUUUCGGGUUAGGUGGUUCUCUAGGCUCUCCCCUCGUGAGAAAGAGAACAACACCAAAGAUAGUCCUUUAGGUCCUUGUGAGAAAGAGAAUAACAUCAAUUGGAUGUGAUUUGUCCAUAUAAAAUUGUUUUAACAUUUUUUCUAUAUAUGUCGAUUGAUGGAUUAAUAUGUCAUUUGAACAAUGCUCGAUCUAUAAGUCGAGACAAUAUCAUGUUUUCCCCGAAUCUUUCAUUUUAAAUUCCUUCUUUAAAUAAUUGGUUGUUUUUGUGAGCUCUUUAGGAGUCCUUAUAAGGUUCAAAUCAUCCACAUAUACUGUAAUUAUUGUAAGCUCGUAUUAUGAUUUCUUGAUAAAAACACAUGGGCAAAUUGGCUUAUUCAAUGUCACUCUUUUAAUAAAUACUCACUCAAAUGAUUAUACUACAUGUGUUCGAAUUGCUUUAAUUCGUAUAGAGAUCUUUGUAGUUUGAUUGAGUACAUAUUUCAAGGUUUUGAAUUAGUUGUUUUCCAGAAAAAUAUUUAAGGGAUUUUCAUAUAUAUGUUAGUAUCUAUAGACCCAUAUAAAUAAGUUGGAAUAACAUCCAUGAGACACCACUACUACAAAAAUAGUUUAUGGUGUCACUAUUUACGGUGUCACUUUUAAAAUAAUGACACCAUAGGGUUUAUAAUUAAUAAAGGUGACACAUCAUAUAAAAAAUCUUCAAUUGAGGUAGUUAAAUGAUAUUAAUUUUAUAUUUAUAGUGUCAUUUUUUGGGAAGUGACAUCAUAUAAAAUAAAUUUUUUUAAGUAUUAUAACUUAAUGAGCCCACUUUUAGAAUUAAUAAUGAUGGAUCCUAUAUAAAAAUCCCAUUGUUUCCAUAUCUCACCCACAAUCCAAAAAAUCUCAAUAUAUAAAUCCUAUAUAUAAAAUCAUGAUCUUCUUCAACCUUUUCUCUCACCCAUCCAUAGUCAACACGCUCAAAACUGACAUUUUUCACUUUGUGGACUCCUAGGUAACCCAAAAUCUCUUGGAUCUAUCAUUUUUUUUUCUUUUAUUAAUGUCAUUAUAUUAAUUGUUUCAACAUCUUUGUAUUAUGGUUUUUGUGAAUUGUGUUUUCUUGAGUUGUAGGGAAGAAAAAUUUAGGUUUAAUCUUCUAGCAUGGAAGAAAAAACUAUAGAUUAGUUGAUUUUUUUUAAUCUAAACCAAACACAUGAUCAAGUCCUUAAAAAAAAGUGAAAAACAGGAAAAAAUGAAUGAUUUUUAAUAUGUAUUUGUGUGAGAAUGACAGGUACAGAAUUUUUUUAAGAUAUACUAUCACAUAAUCUUCAUGCUUUCUAAAAAACGAGAGAGGAAAAAAAAAAGAAUGAUUUUUCUGUUUGUAUCUAAGUGGGAAUGAGAUAUAGAAUUUCGUUGAGAGUAUCCAACCCCAAAAGGACCAAUCCGAGAAGGCAUGUGUGGUAUUGACGGGAGAUGAUAAGAUGGAAAUCAUAACCAUAGCCAUGUUCUCUCUGUGUCGUUCUAUCCUCUUCAAUUAAUUCAUGGUCAUAUAUAUUUUAUUUAGUUUUUAUAUUUAGUUUAUUUAUAGUUUAUUUAGUUUCUAAAAUCCAAUUAGUUAAAUAUUUUAUUUGAUUUUGUUUUUAUAUUUAAGUAUUUGAGUUUUGGAAAGUUUAUAUUUUGUUAAUAGAAAUAGAAAUUUUUAUAUUUUUUAUUAUUAGGAAUUUCUAUUUUGUUAAAUUGUAAGUAUUUAUCUCAAUAAGAGAUUAUUAAUAUUCAAAUGAAAGUGAUGAAAGAGAGUAAAUAUUUUUAAUGCUCAAUUAUAUUUUAAUGUUAUUUUUUUUUUACAUAAGGGUUUAUUUAUGUUUUCAAUUUUGAAGUUCCCUUUCCAAGUCCAGCAACAAAAGUAGUGUCCAACCUUAAAAUGGGCAUGUGUGGUAUUGACGGGAUAUGAUAAGAUGGAAAUCAUAACCAUAGCCAUGUUCUCUCUGUGUCUUUCUAUCAUCUUCAAUUAAUUCAUGGGCAUAGAUAUUUUAUUUAGUUUUUAUAUUUAGUUUAUUUACAGUUUAUUUAGUUGCUAAAAUCCAAUUAGCUAGAUAUUUUAUUUGAUUUUAUUUUUAUAUUUAAGUAGUUGAGUUUUGGAAAGUUUUUAUAUUUUGUUAAAUUGUAAGUAUCUAUCUCAAUAAGAGAUUAUUAAUAUUCAAAUGAAAGUGAUGAAAGAGAGUAAAUAUUUUAAUGCUCAAUUAUAUUUUAAUGUUUUUUUUUUUUUACAUAAGGGUUUAUUUAUGUUUUCAAUUUUGAAGUUCCCUUUCCAAGUCCAGCAACAAAAGUAGUGUCCAACCUUAAAAUGGGCAUGUGUGGUAUUGAUAGGAAAUGAUAAGAUGGAAAUCAUAACCAUAGUCAUGUUCUCUCUGUGUCUUUCUAUCUUCUUCAAUUAAUUCAUGGGCAUAGAUAUUUUAUUUAGUUUUUAUAUUUAGUUUAUUUAGUUUCUAAAAUCCAAUUAGCUAGAUAUUUUAUUUGAUUUUGUUUUUAUAUUUAAGUAGUUGAGUUUUGGAAAGUUUUUAUAUUUUGUUAAUAGAAAUAGAUAUGAGGACUUAAAGGGUUUAUAUUUAGGUAGUGCUUGAGCCAAGGAAAAUGAUAGUCAACUAUCUUGACCCUAUGCAUCACAAACCAUGUGANNNNNNNNNNNNNNNNNNNNNNNNNNNNNNNNNNNNNNNNNNNNNNNNNNNNNNNNNNNNNNNNNNNNNNNNNNNNNNNNNNNNNNNNNNNNNNNNNNNNAUUGUAAGUAUCUAUCUCAAUAAGAGAUUAUUAAUAUUCAAAUGAAAGUGAUGAAAGAGAGUAAAUAUUUUAAUGCUCAAUUAUAUUUUAAUGUUUUUUUUUUUUUACAUAAGGGUUUAUUUAUGUUUUCAAUUUUGAAGUUCCCUUUCCAAGUCCAGCAACAAAAGUAGUGUCCAACCUUAAAAUGGGCAUGUGUGGUAUUGAUAGGAAAUGAUAAGAUGGAAAUCAUAACCAUAGUCAUGUUCUCUCUGUGUCUUUCUAUCUUCUUCAAUUAAUUCAUGGGCAUAGAUAUUUUAUUUAGUUUUUAUAUUUAGUUUAUUUAGUUUCUAAAAUCCAAUUAGCUAGAUAUUUUAUUUGAUUUUGUUUUUAUAUUUAAGUAGUUGAGUUUUGGAAAGUUUUUAUAUUUUGUUAAUAGAAAUAGAUAUGAGGACUUAAAGGGUUUAUAUUUAGGUAGUGCUUGAGCCAAGGAAAAUGAUAGUCAACUAUCUUGACCCUAUGCAUCACAAACCAUGUGAGGACUUAAAGGAUAUCAUAAACAUGUAAGUUCUUCCUAUUAUUUUUCAUAGUAUUAUUUUUAAAUAAAAAAAAUACAUUCACCUCAAACACAUUUUUUUUAUUAUUUAUAUAUAUUAAAACAUAUAACAUUUACCUAUUUUAAAAAUGUACCCAUUGAACUUAUUUACAUAAGGCUCUUCGAAUAUCUACAAAGAAAACAUCUAAGAGGGAGCCAUCUUAGCAACUAGUGCAGGUGACAUCCAAAAAUUUUUCUUUACACAUUAGGUUAUGCAUUUGCACCAUUUAUAUAUGUGAGUACUAAUGUUAUUUUAUAAUUGAUCGAUUAGUGUCCAAGACAAGAAGGAGGGUUCGAAUGUGGCUACUUUGUUAUGAGAUUCAUUAAAGAGAUAAUUUUUUAUCCUACAAUUAUUGCUUCAAAGGUAUUACUUAUUUAAUGAAUUGUACAUAGUUUUAGGCUUCCAAAUGUUAUGCAUUUUAAUGUUAUUUUCUUAUUUGAUUUCAGUUUGGUAAUAAAAAAAACAUAUUCUCAAGUAGAAUUCGAUGAAAUUAGAGGAGAAUGGGCUACUUUUGUNNNNNNNNNNNNNNNNNNNNNNNNNNNNNNNNNNNNNNNNNNNNNNNNNNNNNNNNNNNNNNNNNNNNNNNNNNNNNNNNNNNNNNNNNNNNNNNNNNNNCUAUAUUCUCGAUUCAGAAAACUCUUUUACACAGAGAUCAGAGAGCAUAGGAUUGAAGGUUUGAAGGUUUAGGGUUUGAAGAUCAAUUUUUCAGGUAAAAUUUUUAAUCUUUAAAUUAAUAUUUUAUAUUUGUUAAUUAGUUACCAUUUCCUACGAUCACAGAGUUCUUACCCAUGUAAUUUUUGGACUGAUCCAAAAUAGAUGGAUCGGUGGUCAUAUGGGCCAAAGCUCCGGUGUCCAAAAACCAGUUAGCAGCCUUAGGUCCAGAAAGAGAACAAGAUGUGUUGAAGGCUUCGGCAAGAUGAGUAGAGGAAUCAGUCCGAGCAUACCGUUGGUUGCAGCGGUCAACAUAAUGGCCCUCUAUGCGACAAAUUUGGCAGCGAGGUGGUCGACGACCAUGACCAGAGUAGGUUCGUCCUCGGUUGGAAGAGUUGUUGUUGUGGGAAUGAGAACAACCUCACUGGUUGCUACGGAAAGCAAAUGGAGUUCCAUGGGAAGUGGUGCGACUGCGAUUAGUGGCUGUGAAUGCUGCAGUGGUGGGUUCAGAAGACUCAAGGGAUCGCUAGAACAACUCAAAACUUUCAGCUUUAGAAACUAGAUCUGCAAAAUAGGGGAGAGGGGUGAGAGCCAUCUGAGCUGUAGAAAAACUGGAAAAAUNNNNNNNNNNNNNNNNNNNNNNNNNNNNNNNNNNNNNNNNNNNNNNNNNNNNNNNNNNNNNNNNNNNNNNNNNNNNNNNNNNNNNNNNNNNNNNNNNNNNAGAGGAGAAUGGGCUACUUUUGUGCUACAACUAAUCAUGAAUCAUGUUGAUGCAUCAUGAUCACCAUGCAUGGUGAGUCCCUUAGCUACUACAUGAAUUUUUCCAUAGGUAUUGUAUAGUAAUGCUUAUUCUUUGAAUAAUGUUUCUAUUUGAAAAAAAAAAUUAAUUCUUAGAUUUGUUCAUUUAUGAUAACAUAGAUCCAUGUUUAUUUUCUUCAAUAAAAAUCUCUAAAACUCAUUAAAUUUUGAAAUGUAGGUAUACACUCUUGGGAGGGUGAAAUGGAGAAUAAAAAGAAAGAAGAAGACAACAGGAUUUUGGGUUUUUAAAUGCAACUCUUAUGUCAUACGUUGUAGGACAUAAACGUUACUUUAAUUGCAACUGAGAAAUUUAGAUUUUUAGAUGGGACUUCUAUGUCAUUUUAUGGUUAACCGGUUUUAUGCUUAUGAAAUGGAGGUAUACAUGAAUCUUGGGAUCUUUAACAUUUCUAAAUCAUGUUUUGGUAUGUAUUCACUCUUCUUUUUUAGUUUUGAUGGGUUUGAUAUGUUGGACAUACUAUCCUUUUGUGAACAUUUGAUAUACAAAUAUUAUUAGAUGAUCAAUGUAUUAUGAGUUAUUCCAGAAACAUUACAAAAAAAUGAGUUAAAUAUAAUAUGAUUGUUAUAUUUAUGGACAAAAUAUAAACAGGUUAAUCUUAUUAAUUCAUAAGCAUUACAAAAAUCAACAACUAAAACCAAUCAUAUAUUCCACAAUAAUUUACAAUGAUGUGAUAUCAUAACUCAAAGGUGAUGCAUUUAAUGUGACAUCAUAACUCAAAGAUGAUGUAUUUAAUGUGACACCCUAUCAUCACUAGAAAUAUAUGGUGUCACUUCUGAAUGGGUCACCAUUUAUCUACUUUGGUGUCACUUCCAAAUACGUCACCAAUUGGUACCCUCUAUGGUGUCAGUGGAGAAGGUGACGCUAUGUUGUAGUGACACCUUAUGUUUAUGGUGACUCGUUAUAAAUGUCACCAUAUACCUUUUUCCUUGUAGUGCACAUAUCUAGUCUUUUAGAAACUAUUAAACUUAUCAAGUAUCGAAAUGUGAUUGUGUCCAUUAUAGGGAAAUGUGAUUGUGUCCUAAACCGUGAAUCAUCAGUCCAAGAACAUGGCAAAGGAGCUUGACUCCACUGAUACACUAUGGAAAGGUUCGCUUACUGAACAGUUACUCGUUCUAGUAAGAUAAUAGUCAAAAACCUUAAUUAUUUAUCAAUUAUGAUUGGACUUCUUGCUUUCGGUUAAUAUUCCAUGCCUUAAUUACAGUCUUAAUUUAGGAUUGAAUUAGGGUUGUAACUAGAUUGGAACGCUAACUUUGGCUAUGCCUUUCUAGCUUCAUCAACUGAUCCUGAAGCCUCUGUUAUAUUGGCUUCAGUGGCAUCCACUGCCUUUGUUCUACAAAUAAAAUAAAAUAAAUUACAACCGAAAAGUUUAAUUUGUAAUGUGAUUUUUAAAAAUUUAAAUCCAAUAUAUAUUAUUUACUCAUAAUAAUAAUAGUUUUAUAUCUUUAGAAUAAAUUAUUAAUUCCUGAAAAGUGUUUUAAAAUAUUUAAUUUUUUUUAAUAAAAAAAAUUCACAAUUUUGGUUGUUGAGUGGUCCUAACAUAUUUCUUUUAUUUUUCUUUUAUUGUUUAUAGUAAGUCUCCAAGACCUUCCUCGGUAACAUGAACUCUUCACCAACCAACCUCAUAGACUCCACUUCAUAGAGGCAACUUCACAUCUACGUGGGAACCAACCAAAAUUGAAAAGAAAAAAAAUCUACGAAUUAUUUAAUCUAGGAAACUUUCACCAACCAACACUCGUUGAACUCGGACAGCGUAUGUCAUUUGGAAGUAAUUUUAUUUUAUUUUAUUUUUCUUUCUAUUUAAAAAAUAAAUAUUGUUAAAUUUCAAAAUAAAUAUAUUUUAUUAAUUUUGUUUUACGCUUCUCAUAGUCUAAAAAACAGAAAAAAAAAAAUGAAUCCAACCAUUUACAAAUUAAAUUCAAUUUUCGUUAUAAAAUUAGAAAUAAAAAUAAAAGCACAAAUUUUACCUAAAGUUCAUAUAUUAAUAUAUAUAUAUAUAUAUAUAUAUAUUUCUAGGAAGUAGAGUAUUCAAGUUGAGGUUUGUUCGGAAUGCUGCCAAAUAUUUUAACGCAAGAAAAAUGCUUUAGCCAAAACAAUGGUCAAAUGAGACAGCGCAAGAGAUUUAUCCCUUUUUAAAAAAUCGCAACUAGAGGGUGGAGGAAGGAGGCUGAAGGGCCGAUGUCAUACAAAAUUGACUACUUUCUCAGUAAUCCCUAAGAAUAUUUGCCAAACCACCACCCAUGAAAAGGUGGUGAGAGUUUACUAUUUAUAAUCAUUUACAGAAUAUAAGAAAUUAUUACAAAUCAAAUAAUAUCAAACUGAUUACAAAAGAAAUGGAAAGUAGGAAAUAAUAUCAAACUGAUUACAAAGGAAUAACAUGUAAUCAAGGGUCAAAUAUGAUACAUAUGGUAAAUUGUAAUGAAAAGGCUAAGUAUCCUUAACACCUCCCCGCAAGCUGAGCGUCGGAUUGGAACGAAUGUGAAGCUUGAAUCGGGAAAAUUCAAAGAGAGGUCGAGAAACACUUUUGGUGAAGAUGUCAGCAACCUGGAGGUGGGAGGGCACAUACUGGGUGCGAAGUUUGCCAACGACAACGAGUUCCCGAAGGAAGUGGUAAUCUAAUUCAACAUGCUUGGCCCGCUUGUGAGAAACGGGAUUGGAACUCAAAAAGAUAGCACUUUUGUUGUCACAUAAGAGUAGGGGCUGCUGUGGAAUGGGGACCUUGAGGUCAUGCAAAAGAUGUGUAAGCCAAAGAAGUUUAGCAGCAGUCAUAGCAAGGGCACGAUACUCAAAUUCACAGCUAGAGCGUGAGACAGUAGGUUGCUUCUUUGCACUCCAAGAUACUAGAUUGUUACCAAGAUAAAUAGAGUAGCCGGAUGUAGAACGACGAGUAUCGGGACAGCCAGCCCAAUCAGCAUCCGAAUAAGCUACUAGCGCACUAGGAAUAGUGGAUGGACGAAAGGUAAGGCCAAAGUGGAGUGUGCCCUUAACAUAGCAAAGAAUACGCUUGACAGCAAGAAAAUGAUCUAUAGUAGGGGCGUGCAAAAAUUGGCUGACAGAAUUGACAGCAUGGGCAAUAUCUGGAAGCGUAAUGGUCAAGUACUGAAGGGCGCCAACAAGAGAUCGAUAGAGAGUAGGAUUAGAGAAAGGAGAACCAUCAACAGUCAGGUGUUGGGAAACAACCAUGGGGGUGUGAACAUGUUUGCUGUCGAGCAACUGAGCACGAGUAAGAAUAUCUCGAGCAUAUUUUAACUGACUGAUAAAGAGACCAUCAGGAGUGGGCAAAGCUUCAAGACCAAGAAAGUAACUGAGGGAGCCCAAAUCCUUGGUAGCAAACUCAGAAUGAAGCUUACGAGUAAAACUGUCAAGAAGUGAUGGGUUGUUGCCAGUAACAAUAAUGUCAUCAACAUAAAGAAGCAAAUAAAUAAGGCUAGACUGCUGAUGAAAGACAAAAAGAGAGGUGUCAGCUCAACUAGAAGAAAAACCAAGUGUAAGAAGAAAUGAGCUGAAACGUUGAAACCAGACACGAGGAGCUUGCUUUGAACCAUAAAGGGCGGCUUUCUUUAAUAGGUAGACAUGAGUGGGAAAACGAGAAUCAAUAUACCUAGGAGGUUGUUCCAUAUAAACAUGUUCAGUAAGGGUGCCAUUGAGGAAAACAUUCUUGACAUCAAGUUGCCGAAGAGGCCAUUUAUUUGUGACAGCAAGAGAAAGCACAACACGGACAGUAAUAGCUUUAACAACCGGACUGAAAGUGUUAAUGUAGUCGAGACCAGGUACCUGGGUAUAACCUUUAGCGACAAGGCGAGCCUUGAGACGCUCAACGGAUCCAUCCGGAAAAUAUUUAGUGCGAAACACCCAUUUAAAGCCCACGAUGUUGGUGUUGACAGGCCGAGGGACCAAAAUCCAAGUACCAUUUUGUUGUAAAGCUUGAAUUUCUUCAUCCAUGGCAGCAAGCCAAGCAGGAUUCUUAGCAGCAAAUUUGAAUCCUUUUGGCUCAGUGGAUGCAAGAAGAUCAGAAAGAAGUCCAGAGGAGCCCAAGACACCAAGAUUCGUUGGAUGACGAGUCUUGAAAAUACCAGCUUUGGCUCGUGUGAUCAUAGGAUGAGAGCCCAAAGAAGAACAGGAAUCAUCAGCAAGCUCAAUAGAAUGUGGACUGGAAGCCAAGAGUGGCAAAGAGGAACCUGAAAGAGAAGUAUCAACCUGCACAGACUCAUCCACAAGAUCAGAACAAAUAUUACAUGGAGAGGAGUUGGAUCGAGGAAUGUGCGGGGAAGGAGAGGUAGGGGAAGGGGGGAGAUGGAUCAAUAUGGUGAAGACGUGGUUCCAAGAAAUUUGAAAUAUGAAGAGAGGAAAGAGGUUGGGCCUGGGAGCUUGGGACAGUAGGAAAGUGAGUUUCAUCAAAUUGAGCGUGGCGGGUGAUGUAUAGCCUAGAGGUGGUGGGAUUAAGACAACGAAACCCUUUAUGAGAAGGACUAUAACCCAAGAAAAUGCAAGGAAUUUUGCGGGGAGAAAGUUUGUUAGGCAUAUAAUCACGCAAGCAAGGAUAAACACGACAACCAAAAGGAUGAAAAUUCUCAUAAUACGGAGAGUAGCCGUAUAAAAGUUCAAAGGGUGACUUACCACCAAGAAGUGGAGUGAGCAACCGGUUGAUGAUAUAAGUUGCAGUGCUGAAAGCGUCAACCUAGAAACGAGGAGAAAAGUGGGAGUGGAAGAGAAGGGCCAAGCCAGUCUCAGUCACAUGACGAUGUUUUCUCUUAGCACGACCAUUUUGAGUAGGUGUAUAUGGACAAGAGAGUUGAUGAUGGAUGCCAGAAGUACGUAAGUGAGCUUUGAAGCAAGUAUUAGUAAAUUCAGCACCUCCAUCGCUUUGAAAAACCUUGAUACGAGCGGAAAGUUGGUUUUCCACAAAUUUUUGAAAUUGAAGAAAAAUAUCAAAGAAAUCAGAUUUAAAUUUCAAAGGAUAAAGCCAAGUGAAUCGGGAAUAAUCAUCAAUAAAAAUAACAUAGUAAAGAAAUCCUGAAUUUGAUUUGAUGGGGGAAGGACCCCAAAGGUCACAAUGAAUAAGAUCUAACACAUGAGACGACCUAUGUUCAUUUCAGGAAUAAGGUAAUCGAUGAUUUUUCGCAAGUUAACAAGUACUACAUAGUGAGGGAGAAGACAAUAAAGACGUAAGAGAAAGAUGUCAUUUUUUAUUUAAAAAAGAAAUUACAGAAUAAUUCACAUGACCUAGGCGAGCAUGCCAUAAAUCAUAUGAAGCACGUAAAGAUUUAUUUUUAAAGAUAGAAAUAAAGGCAGAGUUGCCGUGCUCCAACACAUAUAACCCUCCAUCUCUUUUACCGGUCGCCACCACCCUUCCUGUUUGACGAUUCUGGACAGUAAAAAGAUUAUUAGUAAACGUAACGGAGAAAGGAAAAUCAGAAGUUAAUUUGCUAAUUGAAAGAAGAUUUUUAGUGAGAUGAGGGACAACCAAUACAUCUAGUAAGUGAAUAUUUGGAAUAGGAGAAAGAGUACCAGUGUGGGUAAUGGGUAGGGAGACACCAUUUCCUACGAUCACAGAGUUCUUACCCAUGUAAUUUUUGGACUGAUCCAAAAUAGAUGGAUCGGUGGUCAUAUGGGCCAAAGCUCCGGUGUCCAAAAACCAGUUAGCAGCCUUAGGUCCAGAAAGAGAACAAGAUGUGUUGAAGGCUUCGGCAAGAUGAGUAGAGGAAUCAGUCCGAGCAUACCGUUGGUUGCAGCGGUCAACAUAAUGGCCCUCUAUGCGACAAAUUUGGCAGCGAGGUGGUCGACGACCAUGACCAGAGUAGGUUCGUCCUCGGUUGGAAGAGUUGUUGUUGUGGGAAUGAGAACAACCUCACUGGUUGCUACGGAAAGCAAAUGGAGUUCCAUGGGAAGUGGUGCGACUGCGAUUAGUGGCUGUGAAUGCUGCAGUGGUGGGUUCAGAAGACUCAAGGGAUCGCUAGAACAACUCAAAACUUUCAGCUUUAGAAACUAGAUCUGCAAAAUAGGGGAGAGGGGUGAGAGCCAUCUGAGCUGUAGAAAAACUGGAAAAAUCGGUGCCGAGUCCACAAAGGAACCAGUGCACUUUGUUAGUUUCCUCGACGGGUCUUCCAAUGGCAUGAAGCUGGUCACAAAGUGUUUUGAAGGUAUGGGCAUACUCAGCAACGGGUUUGGUGCCGCGUUUCAUGAUUACUACUCAAAAAGUGCUAUUUGAUAGCUUGUAAUUAACUCUUUUAAACACUUUUGAGUAGUAGUUAUCACCUUUUAACCCAAUUAACAUGUUAAGGACCCUUGCAAUCAAUUCUAAUAAAAUUGUGUUAAGUUUUGGUGUUUUGAUAGCUUUUUAAUCACCAAAGCAAUCCGAGAUUGAGGAGAGUUCUUUGGAAUUCAUGGCAAAGUAAUGGAAAGCUCAGAAACAUGAAGAACCAAAGCUUUGAAGUCCUUUGCCAUAAGCAAAUCCGGAAUGCAAGGAGUGUGGGAUCCUCCCCAACCCAGAUUGAGUUCUGGUUCAGUCUUCCUUACAAAAGAUGUCCGGACACACCAUCGGAGGGCGGCAGAACGUGGGCUGUGGCAGGCUGUCGAAAUGACGUAGCAAGGCUUGCUCACUUUAGUCAAUGAUCAUGACAACAUAUCCGGAUAGGAUAUGCUAUCGUCCAGGUGUGAUGAUCGCGAGUGCCGUGUGUUUCUUCCUGAGGGAGUCUGGAUAGGGGAGCGCGCCGUGUGUCCUCUUGGGGAAUCCGGAUGGAGUGAUCCGGAUAGCGAUGCGCGCUCCGUGUCGUCAGGCGGAGGGGUCCCUACACCUUGCACACACAGACAGUCCCCCUUGCGACAUUCCACCUUCUCCGGAUAUUUCACAUCCAACGCUUGACGCCGGAUGGGAGAGGAGGGCGUUUCAACUUCCCUAGACGGACAUAUCCGGAUCCUCUGAUAGCGCUUACCCGGAGAGUUUCGCAGCCAUUUUGCACAUUGCCGCGGUUUUCUCCUAAAGCUUCCCGAUAUGUGCGACCAACAUUUUGAGAUAUUUUUCUUUAGAUAUUUUAUGUCUAAAUCCCCAAAGUCUCCUUGUAACCCACCUAUCAUAUGAUUCCUUAGUCUUUAAGUAAAAACAAAGGGUGAAUAACCCCUUAUAUAUAGUUUUGUAAUUAGCAUCAUAUAUGAUAAUAAUAUAGAUCUCGGGAGCUUGUUCUCAGAGACCACCUUUUGUAUAAGUAAGAAAUAUAUCUACAGAGCACUUGCUCUACUUUUCAUAUAUUUUUGUUUUCUCGUUAUUUUUCUUUCUAGCCAAUCAAACUCUGAGGAUUUUUCCUCAGAGGAUGAGAGGCUAGACUCUUCGUCUCUUGGAGUGAAGAAAGCCGGGUAAGUUUCCUCAUGCAUAAAUUGGAAGUUUUGUUGUUUUAGUUUUUAAUGAAGGGAAAGUGUGACCCGUUAAUGGUUUUUAUCUUUUUAGUUAACUUAAAACGCCUUUAAAUCACUUGGGCCAACACUUGGUAAGGCAAGUGAUCUCCAUCCAUUGAGAUGCACUAGUUUAUCUCUUGCGAGCCUUUGGGAGGUGGUUUGAAGGUAGGAUUUUCUAGAAUAGCCAACACUUGGUAAGCUUUUGGACUCUAAGGAGACAUCCAUUAGUUAUCUCUUGCGAGCUUUUAACGGGUAAUCCAAGGUUAAGGAUCAUCUUGGAUGGCAAAUGCUAGGUGAGAGGCACAAGCCAUUGCAAGAUGCAUCAGUGAGAGAGAUUUAGUGUUUGAACCCAUUAAUGGGAAGCAUUUGUACAACACCAGUUGGAGAAGGAACUAUAUGUUAAUUCUCUAAUGCGAGAAAAAGAAACAAAUGACCAGAACUCCCUUUUUGUAUGAGGAAUCUGAGCCUGAUGAUCUGAAACUCCAAGAAACACUUUUCUUUGUAAUUAAAAUCAGUCACUACUAUUUUUGGUUAGCUUAAAACCAAUCCUUUUUCAAACAUCUUUAUGUUUUCUUUUAAAGCUAACCUUGAAAUGAAAAGACACCAAUUCAGCUUUGAAUUAAUAUCAAUUGUGAAGUGAAAACUCAUCCCAGUGAACGAUCCUAGAGCCACUAUGCUAUAGUAGCUUUGUCUUUGCUACCUAGUUCAUGGUGUAAUAGGUUAUAAAUUUUGUUGAUUACUCCCUGAGGACCAAAAUCAAGGGACACUAGCUGGACACGUAUCAAAUGGCACCACUGUCAGGGACCAUUGAGAGGACAUGAAUCAGCUGAGACACCAAUUGGGAACGAAUCAUUUCAUCAGCUGCAAGUCAUCCUUGAGUCGUAGUUCAUGGGCUUUCAAAUGAUGGCUGAAUGUAUUCUCCAAUGCGAGCCAAACUUCACGGGCAGUGGAGAGACCAACAAUGACAGCAAUGGCUUCCUCGGUGAGAGAGGAGAGCAAGAGACAGAGAAGCCGUUGAUCAGCUGCUUUCCAUGCUAGAUAUUUGGUGCUGAGUGUGGUAGAAGUUGCUGGUUCACAACGGGGUGGUGGAACAAGAGUUCCAUCAACGUAGCCCAAGAGGUCUUGACUCUCAAGGAGAGGAAGAAGUUGGCUUUUCCAGAGAAGAUAAUUGGAGGAAGAAAGCUUGAUGGUGAUCAUGUGGAUUAGAGUGUUGAAAGGAAGAAGAUGAGAGGAUUCGGAAGCCAUGGAGAAAAAUGGACUGGGCUUGCUAAACCAGAUUGGCUCUGAUACCAUAAGAAUAUUUGCCAAACCACCACCCAUGAAAAGGUGGUGAGAGUUUACUAUUUAUAAUCAUUUACAGAAUAUAAGAAAUUAUUAUAAAUCAAAUAAUAUCAAACUGAUUACAAAGGAAUAGCAUGUAAUCAAGGGUCAAAUAUGACACAUAUGGUAAAUUGUAAUGGAAAGGCUAAGUAUCCUUAACAAUCCUCUCCACGUGACUCAAAUCAGCACGGAAGUAUUGAACAAGACCCCACCACCAGCUACAAGUGGAUUGGAAGUGGACACAUCAUUUCUGACACUUAUAAAUACCCAACGCUCACACACUACUUUGGCAACCCAUCUUCAAGCACCAGUCCGCAUACUCUUCUCUUUUCUUCUAUCACUUUGAAACUCUGUGGGGGAUUUUACUAGUCAUCAAUGGCAUCUGUGGAGGACAUUAGAAACGCUCAACAUGCCAAGCGGCUGGCCACCAUUCUAGUCAUUGGCACUGCUACUCCAGACAACUAUGCGUACCAAUCCGAUUACGCUGAUUACUAUUUUCGGGUCACUAAAAGCGAGCACAUGACCGACUUGAAGAAGAAGUUCAACCGCAUAUGUAAGUAUAUAUAUUCAUGCAUCAAUUGGAACAUCCAUUACAUACAUAUAUGUAUAAUUAUCAUAAUGCUUUAAGAUUCCCCUACAAGAAUUGCCAAGUUUUCUUUAAGCUUCCUGUGUGUUGCUUUUCUGUAAACUAAUUAAAUCUGUGAAAAAUGAGGGGCUAUACGUUGGUUUAAUAUUUCGUAAUAGCGCUGCUCUUUCCAAUCCUACAUAAAUUAAUUGCCCUGCCUAGGAACACAUAGUUAUUGUAAUAAUAAGUAAUAAUCUGUUUUAUAUUUAUGUUGAUCAUCUUGAGUGAUAAUGAAGCUGCCCAUUAUUGCUGAAUGAAUUUUGCUUUGCUAGUCCAUUAGCUAAUAUAUUAAAUUCCUUUAACUUAUAUAUAGGUGAGAAAUCAAUGAUCAAAAAGCGAUACAUUCAUUUGACUGAAGAAAUGCUAGAAGAGCACCCAAAUAUGGGUGCUUACAUGGCUCCAUCGCUCAACAUACGCCAAGAAAUUAUCACUACUGAGGUACCUAAGCUUGGUAAGGAGGCCACAUUGAAGGCUCUUAAAGAGUGGGGCCAGCCUAAGUCCAAGAUCACUCACCUUGUAUUUUGUACAACUUCAGGAGUAGAAAUGCCCGGUGCAGACUAUAAACUAGCCAAUCUUCUAGGCCUCGAAACAUCAGUUAGAAGAGUGAUGUUGUAUCAUCAAGGCUGCUAUGCAGGUGGGACUGUUCUCCGAACUGCGAAGGAUCUCGCAGAGAAUAAUGCUGGAGCACGAGUUCUUGUGGUAUGCUCUGAGAUCACAGUUGUUACUUUUCGUGGACCUUCUGAAACCCAUUUACACUCUUUAGUGGGUCAAGCCCUUUUUGGUGAUGGGUCGACAACUAUAAUUGUUGGAUCAGAUCCAGAUACCUCCAUUGAACGACCACUCUUCCAACUUAUUUCAGCAGCCCAAACAUUCAUUCCUAAUACACAAGGUGCUAUUGUUGGCAACUUACGUGAGGUGGGUCUAACCUUUCAUUUGUGGCCUAAUGUGCCUACUCUGAUUUCCGAGAAUAUAGAGAAGUGCUUGACUCAAGCUUUUGCCCCACUUGGUAUUAGUGAUUGGAACUCCUUGUUUUGGAUCGCUCAUCCAGGUGGCCCGGCCAUUCUAGAUGCAGUCGAAGCAAAACUCAAUUUGGAGAAAAAGAAACUCGAAGCAACAAGACACAUCUUUAGUGAGUAUGGUAAUAUGUCAAGUGCAUGCGUGUUGUUUAUUUUGGAUGAGAUGAGAAAGAAAUCACUCAAAGAAGAAAGGACCACCACAGGUAAAGAAUUAGAUUGAGGCGUUUUAUUUGGUUUUGGGUCAGGUCUGACCAUUGAAACUGUUGUGCUGCAUAGUGUUGCUGGGGCUACAAAUUGAGUGAAAAGAAAAAAAUCAGAAGGGGACAAUUUCCAAUUAAAUCAAAUAGGAGUUAAUAAAGACAUAUAUGUCUUCUAUUUGUAACAUCUUUUAUUCUUUAUUAAAAUUGAUGUUUGUGGUUCAAAUUAGAGCUUGUUGGAGGGCUUCAUUAGUAAUCUCAAGUUAAAAGGGAUGAGACAUCAAGUUCUUACAGUUUCGAUAUCUAGAUGAAAUUCCCUCAAAAGUUGUAUAAACAUCCACCGUGUUCUUUUAAAGAUUGUUGAGAGUAAUACAAAGAAAAGAAUAAAAUAACAAAUUGCUUUUUCCCUUUGUAACUAAGAAGUCUGCUGCAUGAUAGCUGCAUUUGUGUGACAGAAGCAAAGCCAUGUGGAUGCCAAAAGUAAUGCAACAAUUUGAAAAGAGUAAACAGGGCGGUUGAUUAGUUAACUUCCAUAAUUCCGCAACAUUUGAUUCAAAAGACUUUAGCUUUAUCAAUUACUUAACUACUACUCCGUAUGUGGAUAAAUUCUUGUACCAUCUGAAAAGGUAUAGAAGAUAGUUAUCCUCAUAAAUAGGUUGCCUAAUUAAUUAGGUGAUCUUCAAUAAUUCAACAAGAUAGGGAUUUUAAAAUAUUUUUACUUUAUUAAUUCCUUAACUACUCCUUAAACUUCUUUUUUUCCCCUUUUUGUGAAAAGCUUUUUACCCUCAAUACAUAUGAUAUAUUCCGUUGCUAGGAACUUGGGUUUGAGUAUGUAUUAAUUACUAUUCUUAAUCAAAUUUAUUAUUGAAAAAUUAUUUUUAGUUAUGGUUUUUUUAAUAUACUUAUUACACAUUUAUCAUAUGUACUUGUUUAAUAUACUUCUAAUAUAUUUAUCAUUCAACAACAAAUACGAGAAAAGGUAUAAAAGACAAUGAAAUUACAAACUAAAUUGCCUUUAGUUUUUUUAUAGUUGAAGGCCUUCUUUUCCACCCCUAGUCUCCAAUAAAUUAGACUCUACAAAGCUUCUUCUAUGUUACUCUCUGAUUCUACUUCUAGUGCAAAGAUUUUGCAGUACUCUACAUUAUCUUGCUAUUGCUAAGAGACAAUCCAAGAAUAUUGAAGAUAAUGAAGUUAGGUUGUUGUAGUAUAAUACCUGAGUUCUUCUCUACUUGCAACUAUGGGAUCGUACAUGAAGAAGCAUUUAAUAAAGGGUUUUAAGAAGCAUAACAUAUUUUUAAGGCCAAAUUAUUUACAAAUAAAGUGCAAUAACCAAAUAAAAAAUGAAGUUUGAUGAAUCAUGAUUAAGGGCGAAUUUAAUUUUCGUAAGGAAUUAUUAUUAUUUUUUUAAAAUCAAUUUUAUCACAAUGAAAUGAUCGAUGCAAAAAUUUAGUGCUUGUUUCUAUAUACUUAGUGUUAACUACUUUUAAAAAUGGAAAAUGAUUAUAACUUUUGUAUGAAAUGUAAAUUUUUAUUAGAAAAAUAUAUACUUCUAAACAAUUUUAAAAAACUAUUAUAUUUUAUUGUGACAAAAAGCUCUUACAUUUUAUAUAAGAGUUACUAGCUUUUUCCAUUUCAAAAAAAGAAACACGAAUUGUUCCAAACACUACAUAGUUAUUAAAAAUAUUUAAUCUAAAAAAAAAAUUAUUUUUAGUAUAAAUUGAUUCAUUUAAAAUUUUUACAUCAAUUGUUUUACGAUAACAAAAUAAUUUAAGUAUCACACACAAAGUUAUGAAAAAAAAUAUGAUAAUUUUAUUUUAGAUGAUUCACAAUAUUUCAAUGUUUUUUAAAAUAUAUUAAUUUUUAAAAAUAAAUUUAUUUAUAGAAAACUUGCAGUAAAUAUAUAAAAGAUGGAUGUGAUGAAACAUUAAUUAAAAUGAACUUUUUUUUUUCAUAAAAGAAAUUUUAAGAAAAAUUAAUUUCACCACAAAGAAAUAUUUUCAAAGAUUUAGUAAUCAAAACUAUCAUAUUUAAACUCAAUUAUUUUUAUAAUUUAUGUUUAUCCCUACAACAAUUUUUUUAUAUAUAAAUAUUUUACAAUAUAAGUGUACUAAGUAUAUUAUUUACAAAAAAAAAAAAAAUAAUAUUGACACAUAGAAUAUCAAUCUCUAUUGCAAUCUAAGAAUGCUUAGGUUCCAAAACCUCAAUUUAUUCUUGUUAGCUCAAGGGUUCUCCUAAUCAGGUUUUGAUGAUAACAAACCAUGGUUAAGUUGCUGAUUGGUUUGAAUUAUAAAGAAUUUCAUUUAUUAAUUCGAGAAUUCAUCAAAUGACCAAAUGGAUGCAAGAUCAAGACCUUUGGAAGACCUUUAAUAAUAGGAAACAUAUAUAAGAUGAAUGCAUGGGUGCACUUAGGUUUUACAUAUCAUUUCAUGCAUCUUUGAAAAACUCGAUUUAUUCUUUAAAGUUAUAGUUUCAUCAAAAUCCAAGUUUUAUCAAAUGAACCUUAGACAAAUUACUUCAAAAUUGGCAUAUUAAUUUACCUAAAGACCUUGCCUAAGUGUUAGAAGAGAAAAUAACAUAAAAAUAUAGGUUUUCAGGCAAAAAAUGUUGAACCGGUUGAGGCAUUGGCCAACCGGCUAGGGGUACCAGUUGACCGAUUCCCUCUUCGUGAUUGACUGGUUCCCUCUUCCCAGUUGACCGGUUCCCUCUUCUCAAUCGAGGUUUGGUCGAGGAGCGCAAAAAGUACUCUCUCUCUUCUAGUAGCCUUCCUUUCCGAUCGAGGUAUUUGCCAUCUUGGUCGACCUCCGGUCGAGGUCCGAUCGAGGUCCGGUCAAGGGUAAUGGUCACCUACCAAACAUUAAAUGCUCUAACGGCUACUAAAUCGGUCAAUCCCAGCUCGACCGAUUGAGGCUACUUUUUGGUUUUCUUGUCUCCCGAGGUUAGAAACCUAUAAAUAGAGAGUUCCACUUCAUUUUUAAGCAAGAGAACACUUGCAUUUAUUUGUCUACCCACUUAUUCUUGCCUUAAAAUCUCUCAUUCCUUUCUUGGCGCAUUAAAUUCCCAUUUGCAUAUCCUUUAGUGCACCUUUGUGAUUCAUCCUACUCUUAAGUUGUAUUUGAGCUAUUGUUGAGCUAGGCUGAUUGAUUCAUUCUUGUUAAUUGAGUGUUAAAGCCUUCAAGUGAGUUGAAACUUGAAGAGAUUGUGUAAGAGCCCAUUAGAGUCGAAAUCCAAGUGUAAAGGUGAUUAGAAGCUUGGUUGAAGCUUCAAGUUAGUGGAAUCCUCACUCGAUUAGGAGUUUGAAGAGAGUGGACGUAGGCAAGAAAGUGUCGAACCACUAUAAAAUUUGAGUUUGCUUUGUCUAACUCUAUCUCUUUAUAUUUGCUUCUCUUGUGCUUAAAUUUGUUUGUUUAAAAAGAAUUUUUUAAAAACCCAAUUCACCCCCCUCUUGGGUGUUUUUCUCAUUUAAGAUUAACCUUUAUUUUCUCAAUUCUUUUCUACCAACCAUACCUACAUUCAUGAAUUAGAAAGAAUAAUUUAACUAUACCAUAGGAAUUAUUAUAGUAAAUGGAAAAAAUACCACUAUUGAACCCUAAAGUAUCUCAUAAUUUCUUGUUUGUUAUAUCUACACCUUAAACUAGUAGCUUUGGUUCCCUAUGGUGUCACAUAUUCUUCCUUACUAUUAGGAUAUAGCCCUUAAAAAAUUUAGGGUUUAUUAUUCAUUCAAUAAAGUUCCAAUUGCACUUUAAUUAAUUAAUAGUCCAUGCAUUAUACCUUAUGAGCAUUUAGACCUACAUCUUUGCAUUAUGAGUUGUAUGGAAGAUCCAAGUCAUGGAUUCCUUACAAGUAGAUGGGUUGUUCACAACUGGUUCAUGAACUUAGACAAUAUCUUAGACUUCUUAAUUGGAGGGAUGGUUAGUCUUGGCCAUUGGGACGGGUUUCCCAUGAAGAGUGCACUAAAGUGUAUGGUUACAUAUUGGACAGGACCUAUAGUGAACCGUACUGUAAGUUUAUCAAGUUGCCAUGACUUCACUAAGCUACUUUAUUGUAUUGUCUUUCAACCUUGAAAUAAUAUUGAACUUGAGCAAAAGUUAGUAGUGACUUUAACUUACGGGUAAGAUCUUAAAGUGAUCAUAUAUUCCUUAUGGAUUGGAUCAUUGUUGAUGAAAACUACUAACAACAGGUAUUCUCAAUAUAAGCACCAUGAUAUUUAAUGGGAUUGAGACAAUGUGUUCCCUUGGGUGAUCUUAAGGAUGUGUGUUUAGGUCAACCAUGGUCAUCAUAAUUCCUUAAGUGGAACUUGACAUUAGCUCUUGGUGAGCUUAGAUAAUAUGUCAAUUGAUCACACUCUAAGAGGAUUUGGAACUCAAAGAUGGUAGAGGUAAUCUUCAAAAUUUGAUAACUUUUACCUUGUUAGAUUAUGGACAUCGGUUCAUGGGGAGACGUAGUGCUUAGGUCAUAGACCGACCCAAGUACUAAGCAUCUCGUUAUAUUUACGUAGUGUAUUGGAGUGUAGUAGUUGACUCUCUACUGUCAAAUGUAAAGAAAAUUUCAGAAUUGGAUUUUGAGGGAGUCAAUACUAUCAUAGGAGUCCCAAUUAUCCUCACUCGAGCUCAUAUACCUUGAUGACACAGUUUAUGAAGGUUAGAUUGACUCUUAGUUCACUUAUGUGCAUAAGGGCAUGUUGAUAAUUACACAAGGUUAAAUAGGGGUUAGUGAUCAAUAUCUCUAGAUUUGGCUAAUUGAUUCAUUAUUUAGUCCUAUUGAGUUAAUUAAUCAAUUAUAACCCUUUUUAGGCUAGAUUAAGUGACCUAAGCCCAUGGUGAACUCAAGUUACUUAAGCUUAGUAGGAAUCACUAUAAAUACCCAUUUAGGGGUUAAGGUUUCAAGCUUCUUCCAUUCAUACCCUACAUUUUAAAGAGAGAUCUCAAGCCUCCACCCUCAAAACUUCCAUUAUUUAAGUGCCAAGCUUCAAGGUUGAGUCAUGGGACGGAAGAUCAUGGGUUUAUGAGAUCUCUUGCAACUUUGAAUUUUUUAUUCAUAGCAAGGAAAUGAUUUGGGAAUUCUAAAUCAAUAGUAAGCACUCUAAUCUCAUUAUCUAGAUCCUAAAAUUGAUUUUAAAUGCAUAUUUUCCACUAUGCAUAGUAAUUAGAUAAGCAUAGGGAGGAUUGCAUGUAUCUAACCUGAUUUUAGGAUAGAGAAUGGAUUAAUCAAACAUUGCCUACAACUGGUAUCAAAAGCUUAGGUUAAGGAAACAUAUGAUCCCUUUUAAGGUGUGCUAAUCCUUGUGUUAUAGGAUUUGUUAUUCAUUUGAUGGUCCUAGGGAUGAAGGUAUAUGCAUGAGAUUUUUUGAACUUUUAUUAUGAUAAAUAUAUAUAGUGAUUGAUUGUUAGAUUGGUUUUUAUUAAUCUCUAGAUGAGUUGUAAACCCCAUAAUAAGUCUUAAGAUUUUUUUAUUUGCUAUAAAUUUUUUUUUUUUUUUAUAGAUUGGUUUGUGAAGUUCAAAUGAUUGGAGUAUAGGGUUUUGAUGUGAAAAUCCAAUUUACAUCUAUCUAUGUAACCCAUAAUGAGAAUGGAAGCAUUCAAAUUCUUGUACAUUCCCUUCCUGGAAAAAAAAAGUCCUUUUAAGGAAAAUAGUUACUAGAAAUACAAAAAUUCAUUCUCAAAUUCAGUUUCAUCAAGUUCUUAAGCACUUCUUCUAACACUCAAAAGCAACAUUUAAUGCUUGAAGCAUUUCAAGCUCUCUAAAGUUCCUUCAAGUGCUCCUAAAUAUACUAGUAAUCAUUUUAGGGUUUUUAGGGGUAAUUUUGGUCUCUUGUAAAACCACUAACCUUAUUUUUGUUAUGGAUUUUUUGGUAUGUUUGGAUAAUGAAAAUUUAAUAUUUAGGCUACCAAAUAAGCAACAGGACCCCUAAGUCCAUGCGAUUCCCUAUUUUAUUUUAUUUUAUUUUUUCUUUUAUGUUUCUAUUCUAUAUUGCAUAUGAUAAGAAGUUGAAUAAAAAGUUUUUCAAAAAUGGUAAUUUUGGAUUUUCUUAUAGAAAAUAAAUUUUCACGAGGAUUGUCACCAAGUAUUAUUUAUUUUAGAAUUGGAUGUUUCUAUUAUUGGAUUGGCAUCCCUUUUGGAACUUUCCUAUUGUUUUUGGUUAGGUGGUUCUCUAGGCUCUCCCCUCGUGAGAAAGAUAACAACACCAAAGAUAGUCCUCUAGGUCCUCAUGAGAAAAAGAACAACAAAAACAGGAUGUGAUUUGUCCAUAUAAAAUUGUUUUAACAUUUUUUCUAUAUAUGUUGACUGAUGGACGAAUGUGUCAUUUGAACAAUGCUUGAUCUACAAGCCGAGACAAUAUCUUGUUUUCCCUAAAUCUUUCAUUUUAAAUUCCUUCUUUAAAUAAUUGGUUAUUUUUGUGAGCUCUUUAAGAGUCCCUGUAAGGUUCAAAUCAUCCACUUAUACUGUAAUUAUUGUGAGCUUGGAUUAUGAUUUCUUAAUAAAAACACAUGGGUAAAAUGACUUAUUCACAUAUUACUCUUUUAAUAAAUACUCACUCAAACGAUUAUACUACAUGUGUUCAAAUUGAUUUAAUUUAUAGAGAUCUUUGUAGUUUGAUUGAGUACAUAUUUCAAGGUUUUGAAUUAGUCAUUUUCAAGCAAUUUGAAUCCUUCAAGGAUUUUCAUAUAUAUGUCAGUAUCUAUAGACCCAUAUAAAUAAGUUGUAAUAACAUCCAUGAGACACAUAUCUAGUCCUUUAGAAACUAUUAAACUUAUCAAGUAUCAAAAUUUGAUUGUGUCCAUUACAGGAGAAUAAUUUUCCUCAUAGUUUAUAACAGGUUUUUGCAAAAAACCUUGAACAAGUCAUGCUUUAUAUCUUGUGACGUCAUUAUUCUCAUUUCGCUUUCUCAUAAAGGCCCAUUUAUAUCCAACAGGCUUUAUGUUUUCAAGUGUUUGAAAUACAGGUCCAAAACCUCUCAUUUUGCUAACUAGUUUAGCUCUAUGUGGAUUACUUCUUUCCAUCUUGGUUAAUCAUUCCUUUUUCGAUGUUCAUCCACAGUUUUUUGUUCUUGAUCUUCAUUAUUUAUCAUGAUGUCCAUAAUUAAUUGGAACACAAAUAUGUUGUCUAUGAUAAUGUCAUUGUGGUUCCUUGUUUGUCCUGUGUGACUCAUUGAGAUCUCUCUAGUUCUAAAUACCAGUAUUUAAUCAAUUAGUGCCUCUUUAGGAGCUAACUAUUUAUCAAGUUGGGUUUCAGCAUUUGAUCCUUUCCUAUUUGUAAGCUCUUCAAGAGUACCAAGUUUUUCAUAUGUCAUUCUUUUUCUUUUUUUAGAAAUUGAAUCCUUUGAGCCAAUUGGUCUACCACGCUUUAGGUGUGUCUUACAUUCACUUGCGAUGGCAUUCUCCUAUUAUCCUUUACGGACAUCAAUAUGUGCUAGGGUAUUCACAGCCUGUAUGUGUGACUUUGUUACUUUCAUUAUAUUUGUCAAAGCAUCAAGUAACUAAUUUGCAAGUCCUUAUAAAUGAAUAAUCCUAUGAAAUUCUAGUUAACACUGCCUUGCACGAGGAUCAAGAUGAGACAAAGAGGAUACAUAACAUGUAAUGUCUCGCCAUUGUUCUGGAUUUGAUUUGUCACCCGUAAUGGUGGGAAAACAUUUUCAUCAAAAUGAAAAUCUACAAAGUGGGCAAUAAAAACAUCGCCUAUUAAAUGUUCAAGAUAGCUAAUAAUGGAGGGAGAAUUAAAACCAACAUAUAUACCAAGUAGACGUCGAGGACAUAACUUAAAACAUUGAGGUAGAGCUAUGGGAGCAUAGACAAUACAACCAAAAAUAAGUAAAUAUGAAACAUUUAGUUGGGAGCCUAAAAUAAGUUGUAAAUGUGAGAAUUCAUGAAGUUGUAGAACAAAUCUGAAUUAAAGUAACUACAUGGAGAAUAGCAUGUCCCCAAGUAGAUAAAGGCAAUUUUGUUGUCAGGAAUAACGGUUUUGCAAUCAAUUGCAAAUGCUUAAUAAGAGAUUUAACUAAUCCAUUUUGAGUGUUAGUAUGAGCAAUAGGAUGUUCAACAUCAAUACUAACCGACAUACAAUAAUCAAGAAAUAUUUGGGAAGAGAAUUCACUAGAAUUAUCAAGACAAAUUGUCUUAACAGGGUUGUGAAACCAAGGUUUGGUCAAUCUUAAUUUUGAUGAUAACAAAAUAAGGUUUGGAAUUAAUGAUUAUAUUUCAAUUGUGAUUAGUCGAGAUGAUUUUCAAAGUGGCAAUCAUAAAGACAAAAUCAAGCCAAAGGGAAAUCAAUAAGGUGAAGAAGACCUCAAAGAGAAGUGUCUUUCAAGACCUAAGUUUCAUAGGAUCUCUUUGUAAGGUUGUUAGUGCAUUUGUUUUUUUUUUUAUGCAUUACAUUAUUUACUUAUGCACCAAAAUCAUCCAAGAGUUAUUUUUGUUUCAAAUAUUUUAAAAUCGGAUGAUUUCAUGUUUUCAACUAAAACUUUGUGUCAAAUGUUUUCUAAACUUUUUAAAAAGGUUUUAAGUUAAAAAAAAAUGGUUGUUAAGCCAAAAAUGGCUUAACCGGCUAAACUGGCUAAAGAACCGAUUGACCUAUUUAGUUCAACCGAUCGAAUUAUGCAAAAACCUUCUCUAUAUUCCAGAAUGCUUUUCCGACCGGUCGAGGCUAAACCUCAUCUGGUUGAGUACGAAUCGAGGGGUGGUCAAGGGACGAUUGAGGUCCAUUGGUCACCUGCCAUGCAUUAAAUGUCAACGGCUAAUGAACCGAUCGAAUUAGAGCUCAACCGGACGAACCCCUAACAGCUAGUUUAACAUUUUUCUUCUAUAAAAAAGCUCUAGUCUUCAUUGUUUUAAGAGCUUAACCUUCCAAAACCUUUCUUGAAUAUACUUAAGCCUUGGGAGAGUGUUUUUGAGUGCAUCAUUAUUAUGAAACUUGCAUAUCAUUAACGCACUUUUCAAUCCUAGUUUAUCUCUUAUCAUUUGAGCCUAAAGUUUUGUACUAGGGUUUUGUGAGAUUAUUUUUCAUCCUUAUUUGUAAAUCUUUGAGAAGAAAAGUCCAAGUGUGAGGUAUCACUUAAGGAUUCUCAAGUGUGAGGUAUCACUUUAGGGGUUGUUCAAGAGUGAGGUAUCUCUUGAGGAUUGUAAAGGGUGCUUAGAGCCAAAAGUCCAAGAGGGUUGAUUGGAACCAUAAUCCAAUUGGAUUGCUUGAAGGCUUGGGUUGGAAGCCUUGAAUUAGUGAAACCUCAAGCUUGGGAUUGAAGCUAGAGAAGACUAGACGUAGGCCAAGUUGCGCCAAACCAUUAUAAAAAUCUUAUGUUUGCAUUCGGGAUCCCAAGUCAUUCAUAUCAUCCAUAACCCUGAGUUGUUCAUAUGAUCCAGAGCCCUGAGCUCACGACUUAGAGUAGCACAUGUCAUCCAUAAUCCUAAUCUCUUUAUAGAAUCUAGAGUCAUGGGUUCACAACCAAAUUCAUUCACAUCAAUCAUAGCCUUUUAUCUCAUGACCGAAAGACAUUUAUAUCAUACAUGACAUUGAGCCGUUCAUAACAUAAAGAGCCCUGAACUCCUGGCUCAGAUUAGUUAUUAUCAUCCAUAGCCCUGAGUUUUUCAUAGCAUCUAGAGCCUGGAGCUCACGACCUGGAGUAGUUCAUGUCUUCCACAGCCCUGAGUUAUUCAUAACAUCUAAAGCCCUAAGCUCAUGACCUGUAGUUGUUAAUGUUAACCACAACCCUAACUUGUUCAUUGCAUCUAGAGUCUUAAGCUCAUAACCCCAAGUUGUUUAUAUCAUCCAUGAACUUGAGUUGUUCAUAGAAUUUAGAGACCUAAGCUCACGAGGGGAAGUGGUUCAUAUCCUACACUUCCUUAUGUUUUUUUUUAGCAUUUAGAGACCUAAGCUCAUAACAUGCAGACAUUCAUGUCCUCCACCGUCCUAAGUUGUUCAUAGCAUUUAGAGCCUUGAGCUCAUGACUCAGAGUCGUAGAUGUCAACCAAAGUCCUGAGUUGUUCAUUUCAUCUAGAGCCCUAAGCUAAUGACCUCAAGUCAUUUAUAUCAUUCACGAUUCUAAGCUAUUCAUAAAAUUCAGAGACCUAAGCUCAUGACAUGGAGUCAUUCAUGUGCUCUACUACUCAAAUCUUUUCAUAGAUCUAGACCUAUGAGAUCACAACCAAAAUCGUUCCUGUCAUCCAGAAUCCUAAGUUGUUCAUUUUAAUAGCCUUAAGCUCACAACCUAAAGUCGUUGAUGUCAACCACAACCUUAAGUUGUUCAUAGAAUCUAAAGCCCUAAGGUCACGACCCAGAGUCGUUCAUGUCAUCCACAGCCCUGAGUUGUUCAUAGUAACUAGAGCCUUUGGCUUAUGACAAAGAAAUGUCCAUAUCAUCCACAACUUUGAGCUAUUCAUAGCUUCUAAAGCCCCAAGCUCACGGGACCCUGAGUUGUUCAUGUCUUCCAUAACCCUCUACUCUUCAUACCCGUGAUUUUCUACCAAAAAUUGCCAUGAAAAAGUUUUCACAUGCAUCUCAUGCUCCUCUUGCAGUCGUCUGAAGACAAGUCAAUGUGCUUUGCUUCACUAAAAUUCAGUGUGCACCAAGUCUCUAUGUAAAGAUGAGUUGCUUGCAACCCUCCCAAAAUUUCUCCAUUAACGGAUCCCAAGUAUCUCCACCAAAAUCAUACAAAGAUAAAUACAAAAAAUAAAUAUUAGAAAUUACAUAAUAAUAUAAAAUAAAUAAAUAAAUAAAAUCUCAAAUGAUGCAAUGAGGGUGAAACCAAAAAAAAAAAAUAUAUCAAUCACAUACGUAGUUAAGUAGAAAAAAGAAUAUUAUUCCAUGUAACUUAAAAGAUUAGAUUCAAAAUCUCAAGCAAUUUCCUAAAAAAUAAAUAAAUGAAUAAAUAAAUAUCACAUGGGCAAUUAGAAUUUGAAAAUAAAAAUAAUGCAAUAGAAAACAAUGAAAAACGGAUGCAAUCAAGAAUCGAAAUCAAGUCCAAACAAAUGUCCAAAAUGUAUGAAAAAAGUGCCUAGGUGACUAGGGUGAAUGUGUGCAAGCUGGAAGGUGCCUAGGUGAAUCUAAGUGGGCCUAGGUGAACCUAGAUGAGUCUAACCUAAAGUGCAAAUUAAGGUUGUCGAGGGUCACAAUGGGGUUAGAUAAAUCUCUCGAUCAAAGUCUCUAAGGUGGCUCAAAAAAAGGUAAGUAGUAUGAGUAACAAUGGACCACCAAGGAACUACUAUGGAGCACUAGAAGUGAACUUAAAGACAUGUGCUAAAGGGACAAAAUUGAGGGUCUACAUACAUGUUUAAUUCACUUUAAACAUUUGAAUAACAUUGUUUUUAUUUAUAAAAAUAAAAUAAAUUUUAAAAAUCAAAUUUCAUUUCUUUUACAACAUACAUUUAUAUUAAAUAAUUUAUAAUUAUUAAUUAAUUUGCUAUUAAAAAUAUAAUAAUAAUAUAUCUUAACGAGGAAAUUUUAAAUUCCUGAAAAAAUGUUUAAAAUAAUUGUUAUAAAUGAAGUAGUGAAUGUCGCCACAUCAUUAUAAUAAAUGUUAAUUAAAAAUUAUUUAUGACUUUCAUUAAUUCAAUAUUAAUGGAAGCCAUUUAGACAGUCUAUAGAAAGGUUUCCCAUCCCCUAUGCAAGGAGCAUCCUAAGAAAAGAAGCAGUCUCUCAUUCUCUCUGUUUUUCAUUCUCUCAUCUCUCCUAAUUUUCUUCUCUAAUUUCUUUCUCCCCAUUAUAUAUUAUUAAAGUUAUAUAUAUUUGUCUCUACUUUUGUUUGCAUUUAUUAUGGUUUUGCAAUAAUAAUUUUUAUUUUUAUUUUUCUAUUUUAAACACACAAAACUUGGGUUCACAUUUUAAUUGGUUGUUAAGUGGUCUUAACGUUUCUAUGUGUUUUAAAUAUGGUUCCUGCUUUUUAUUUUUAAAAUAGUAAUAAUAGUAAUCAUUAGUAUAAUGUACAUAAAAAUAAUACUGGUAAAGAAAGAAAAAAGAAGAAGGGUUUUUAAGAUAAUAGAAUGGUAUAAUGUAUGACUAUUGAAAUGUUAAUCAAGCUAAAUAUUAACAAAGUUUUAUUUUACCAUUGCAUAUAUUUUUAAAUGAUACAUUUAUAUUAUGUAAUAGAAUUAGAAAUAUUCAUAUUUUUACAUUUCAUUGUUUAUCCUAAUUAUGAUAUAAUAUGCUAAAUUUUAACUAUAAAAAGAUGAAAUAAUUUUAAUUAUUUGUAUAUUUUUAAUUUUAAUUAUAUGUAAAUUACAUAUUUAUCAUGUCAUGUUCACAUCAUUAUUCUAUGUAAUUCAAUCAUUGAUCUAACCAGUGAACUAUUGAUCGAUUUUUAUUUAAUAACUGAUUCGAUUUUGAAAAUAUUGUGAGAUACAUCAAGAUGCUUUUUUUAAAUAAAAAAAAUUAUUUAUUAGUUUUAAGAGAAUAUCUAUUAAUGUUUUCAUUUAUGAACAUGAAAUAAUUUUGGUUGUUGAGUGGUCCUAACAUAUUUCUUUUAUUUUUCUUUUAUUGUUUAUAGUAAGUCUCCAAGACCUUCCUCGGUAACAUGAACUCUUCACCAACCAACCUCAUAGACUCCACUCCAUAGAGGCAACUUCACAUCUAUGUGGGAACCAACCAAAAUUGAAAAGAAAAAAAAAAUCUACGAAUCAUUUAAUUUAGGAAACUUUCACCAACCUACACUCGUUAAACUUGGACAUGGAUGAAAUUUUAUUUUAUUUUAAUUUUCUUUCUAUUUAAAAAAUAAAUAUUUUUAAAUUUCAAAAUCAAUAUAUUUUAUUAGUUUUGUUUUACGCUUCUCAUAGUCUCAAAAAGACUAUUGUGAAAUUUAAAAACAGAAAAAAUAUAUGAAUCCAACCAUUUACAAAUUAAAUUCAAUUUUCGUUAUAAAAUGAGAAAUAAAAAUAAAAGCACAAAUUUUACCUAAUAUAUAUAUAUAUAUAUUUCUAGGAAGUAGGGUAUUCAAGUUGAGGUUUGUUCGGAAUGCUGCCAAAUAUUUUAACGCAAGAAAAAUGCUUCAGCCAAAACAAUGGUCAAAUGAGACAGCGCAAGAUAUUUAUCCCUUUUUAAAAAAUCGCAACUGGAGGGUGGAGGAAGGAGGCUGAAGGGCCGAUGUCAUACAAAAUUGACUACUUUCUCAGUAAUCCCCUCCACGUGACUCAAAUCAGCACGGAAGUAUUGAACAAGACCCCACCACCAGCUACAAGUGGGUUGGAAGUGGACACAGCAUUUCUGAUACUUAUAAAUACCCGACGCUCACACACUGCUUUGGCAACCCAUCUUCAAGCACUAGUCCGCAUACUCUUCUCUUUUCUUCUACCGCUUUGAAGCUCUGUGGGGGAUUUUACUAGUCAUCAAUGGCAUCUGUGGAGGACAUUAGAAACGCUCAACGUGCCAAGGGGCCGGCCACCAUUCUAGCCAUUGGCACUGCUACUCCAGACAACUGUGUCUACCAGUCCGAUUACGCUGAUUACUAUUUCCGGGUCACUAAAAGCGAGCACAUGACCGACUUGAAGAAGAAGUUCAACCGCAUAUGUAAGUAUAUAUAUUCAUGCAUCAAUUGGAACAUCCAUUACAUACAUAUAUGUAUAAUUAUCAUAAUGCUUUAAGAUUCCCCUGCAAGAAUUGCCAAGUUUUCUUCAAGCUUCCUGUGUGUUGCUUUUCUGUAAACUAAUUAAAUCUGUGAAAAAUGAGGCGCUAUACAUUGAUUUAAUAUUUCGUAAUAGCGCUGCUCUUUCCAAUCCUAUAUAAAUUAAUUGCCCUGCCUAGGAACACAUAGUUAUUGUAAUAAUAAGUAAUAAUCUGUUUUAUAUUUAUGUCGAUCAUCUUGAGUGAUAAUGAAGCUGCCCAUUAUUACUGAAUGAAUUUUGCUUUGCUAGUCCAUUAGCUAAUAUAUUAAAUUCCUUUAACUUAUAUAUAGGUGAGAAAUCGAUGAUCAAAAAGCGAUACAUUCAUUUGACCGAAGAAAUGCUUGAAGAGCACCCAAAUAUGGGUGCUUACAUGGCUCCAUCGCUCAACAUACGCCAAGAAAUUAUCACUGCUGAGGUACCUAAGCUUGGUAAGGAGGCCGCAUUGAAGGCUCUUAAAGAGUGGGGCCAGCCUAAGUCCAAGAUCACUCACCUUGUAUUUUGUACAACUUCGGGAGUAGAAAUGCCCGGUGCAGACUAUAAACUAGCCAAUCUUCUAGGCCUCGAAACAUCAGUUAGAAGAGUGAUGUUGUAUCAUCAAGGCUGCUAUGCAGGUGGGACUGUUCUCCGAACUGCUAAGGAUCUCGCAGAGAAUAAUGC
rnacentral:lncRNA from 1 species